rnacentral:lncRNA from 1 species
UUUACUCGAAGCAGCCUUCAAUCGCUCAACUAGUGAUUGCGGCCCUGCGCCUUCUUCCACAGGGGCUAUGGCGUUCACCAAGUCUUCAGCUGCUACAGUUACCUCCUGGAGUUUGCUUCGGAUUAUGAAAAGUACUCACCUUGAUACUUUUUCUUCAGCGACUUGUAGCGGCUCUCCAGUUUUUGCUGCAGGACUGCAUGAUCCAUACGUUCCACAACAAAAGACUUCACUCCAACCUCG